CGGACCGUAGCGCAGAGGUCGUCGCGCCCGAUAGACAAUCGGGAGGACGCCGGUUCGAUUCCGGCCGGCCCGCC
rnacentral:tRNA from 1 species